AAAAGGUCAUGAAUCUUGGUCUAACCCUCCCCUAGGACAACGGUUGUCUUCAAUUGUUAAAGUAAACAAGUCCUUGAUUUUCUCAUUGUAACCAACAUUUCAAUCAAUCUAAAAAACCCAUAAAAUCAAUAUUAAUCGAAUCCCAAUUCUUUUUCUCCAUGAAAAGUUCAAACUAACAGGCCUUUCUCUCUAUAAUUGCUCCUUUCAGACUUUGCCCUUGCUUAGCUUUUUCCCUCUUUAUCUCUUCUUGCAAAUGAAGAAAAGGUUUGAGAGCGAACUGGAAAUAGGAAUAAAUGUUGGAGUAGGUUAGGGUAGAGACAGAGAAAGAAUGGAAGAAAAAGCAUAGAGGAGAGAUUUUCACACAUUCUACCUCGAAUCAAGGAAAUAAAUCAGAUUAUACAGGAACAUUCUUAGCUUUGUUAUGUGCAUAACAUCACCAACAAUCACUAAAUAAACAAAGGAAAUCCAAAACACAAUAGGGGAAAAAAAUCUUUAUCGAGGUUCAAUGACAAGCGAUAAAAGUUCCAUAUUGUAAACUGAAAUUUCGUGGCUCCCAUUUCAAGCCACAAAAUAAAGAACUAUUGUAGUUAUCUACAAUCAGUAAACUUGAAUCACCAAUACAUAAAUAUAUGAAUCAAGGUUCUUGAUUUUUUACAUGCAUUUGGGCCAUCAAAUAUCAUGAAUCAAUGAAAUGAAUCAGAUUAUCUUGGCUCUCAUUUUUCAAGAAUCAGAUUAUCUUGGCUCUCAUUUUUCAAGCCAUAAAAUAAAGAACUAUUGUAGCUCUCUAGAAUCAGUAAACUCGAAUCACCAAUACAUAAAUAUAUGAAUCAAGAUUGCAGCUUUUUUACAUACAUUUGGGGAGUCAAAUAUCAUGAAUCAAUGAAAUAAAUCAAAGUAUCUUGUUCACUUGUGCAUGAAAAGAAAUGGAACAAGAAAUAAAAAGACAUAAUAAAAUCCAGCAGAUUUACAAUAGAGAAAUAGUGGGAAAGCCCUAAUUUUCCUACAGCAGAUUUCACAAGGAUUCCAUUUUUUUACAGCAGAUAAUAUUCGUAAAGCCCCAAAUUAUUUUAAGGAAUCCUUGAAAAUAAGGAAAGCCCUAAAUCUGUUUACAGAGAUUUUUAAAAAAAAACCCUGAAAACAUAAAAAAAUUUGGAAAAUCUGCAUACAACUAUGAUUGAGAGGUUGUUGCUCUUGUCAAGCUCUUGCUCGCAGAGGGUGAGAAAGAGAACCGAGGGAAGGGAGGCUCCAAGAAGAGAAGAGAGAGAGAGCAAGAGACAGGGUGAGCGGCUGGCUGUGUCAGAGCGGCAAAGUUCCAUACUGUAAACUAAAAUUUUGUGGCUCCCAUUUCAAGCUACAAAAUAAAGAACUAUUGUAGUUAUCUAGAAUCAGUAAACUCGAAUCACCAAUACAUAAAUAUAUGAAUCAAGGUUCUUGAUUUUUUUACAUGCAUUUGUGCCAUCAAAUAUCAUGAAUCAAUGAAAUAAAUUAGAUUAUCUUGGCUCUCAUUUCAAGCCAUAAAAUAAAGAACUAUUGUAGCUCUCUAGAAUCAGUAAACUCGAAUCACCAAUACAUAAAUAUAUGCAUCAAGGUUGCAGAUUUUUUACAUACAUUUGGGGAAUCAAAUAUCAUGAAUCACUGAAAUAAAUCUAAGUAUCUUGUUCACUUGUGCAUGAAAAGAAAUGGAACAAGAAAUAAGAAGACAUAAUAAAAUCCAGCAGAUUUACAACAGAGAAAUAUUGAGAAAGCCCCAAAUUUUCUUACGGCAUAUUUCGCAAGGAUUCCAUUUUUUUUACAGCCGAUAAUAUCGGUAAAGCCUCAAAUUAUUUUAAGGAAUCCCUGUAAAAUAAGGAAAGCCCUAAAUCUUUUUACAGGGAUUUAAAAAUAAAAACCCUAAAAACAUAAAAAAAUUGGAAAAUCUGCGUACAACUAUAAUUGAGAGGUUGUUGCUCUAGCUCGCACUGGUUCCUCAAGCUCUUGGUCGUUGAGGGUGAGAGAGAGAACAGAGGGAAAGGAGGCUCCAAUAAGAGAAGAGAGUGAUAGAGCAAGAGACAGCGUGAGCGGCUGGCUGUUGCGAAGAAAGGGCGAGCAGCUGGCUGUGCGAGAGGGAUAAAGAAAUAGGGCACAGGUGCGAAGAGCGGUGUUUUAUUGGGGGUGGGAAGAACUUCUAUUUUCAAGUUCCAUGGUUA
rnacentral:lncRNA from 1 species